rnacentral:rRNA from 1 species
GAUGAACGCUGGCGGCGUGCUUAACACAUGCAAGUCGAACGAAGCACUCUAUUUGAUUUUCUUCGGAAAUGAAGAUUUUGUGACUGAGUGGCGGACGGGUGAGUAACGCGUGGGUAACCUGCCUCAUACAGGGGGAUAACAGUUGGAAACGACUGCUAAUACCGCAUAAGCGCACAGGAUCGCAUGAUCCGGUGUGAAAAACUCCGGUGGUAUGAGAUGGACCCGCGUCUGAUUAGCCAGUUGGCAGGGUAACGGCCUACCAAAGCGACGAUCAGUAGCCGACCUGAGAGGGUGACCGGCCACAUUGGGACUGAGACACGGCCCAAACUCCUACGGGAGGCAGCAGUGGGGAAUAUUGCACAAUGGGGGAAACCCUGAUGCAGCGACGCCGCGUGAGCGAAGAAGUAUUUCGGUAUGUAAAGCUCUAUCAGCAGGGAAGAAGAA